UUCCAGGCCUCUAUCAUUGAAGGAGGAGAAGCAGCAAUCCAGGAGCAUUCCAAGUUUUAUGCACUGGAUAGCAAUUGCUGAGGUACCCACACAACAUAAUAGGUUGAGCAACUGCGUAGUUAGCCUCUCAGGAAUUCUGUUCCUUUAGAGAUCCCUGACCAAUCCAGCACCUGAGAAAUAACAAUUGAGAAGUAACAGGAUGCUGCUGCCUGCUGAGACACCUUUGAGACAAUCCACAUUGAGUGGCAACUUCGGACUGGAUCCAGGCACCUGGAUGGACUGGCCGGGGAGGGGGGGUGGGCUUACCCCCUAUAUAAGUUUAGACUCUAAACUUUAAAGUGCCUUGAACAGAGU
rnacentral:lncRNA from 1 species